AUUGAACGCUGGCGGCAGGCCUAACACAUGCAAGUCGAGCGGAUGAAGGGAGCUUGCUCCUGGAUUCAGCGGCGGACGGGCGAGUAAUGCCUAGGAAUCUGCCUGGUAGUGGGGGGUAACGUCCGGAAACGGGCGCUAAUACCGCAUACGUCCUGAGGGAGAAAGUGGGGGAUCUUCGGACCUCACGCUAUCAGAUGAGCCUAGUACGGAUUAGCUAGUUGGUGGGGUAAAGGCCUACCAAGGCGACGAUCCGUAACUGAUCUGAGAGGAUGAUCAGUCACACUGGAACUGAGACACGGUCCAGACUCCUACGGGAGGCAGCAGUGGGGAAUAUUGGGCAAUGGGCGAAAGCCUGAUCCAGCAAUGCCGCGUGUGUGAAGAAGGUCUUCGGAUUGUAAAGCUCUUUAAGUUGGGAGGAAGAGCAGUAAGUUAAUACCUUGCUGUUUUGACGUUACCAACAGAAUAAGCACCGGCUAACUUCGUG
rnacentral:rRNA from 1 species